CCGAUCAAAUCAAGGAAACAAGCCACUUCAGUUUCCUCCUCUACUCAUAAGUGUACCAGCUUCACUACUAGUGUGUGUGUGUGAGCAGCACCAUGUGCUCUACUAGUUUACACUAGCUGUAGUUUAGACUUGGUUGAUCCUCGGACAACUAGCUACUCGCUAGUUCGGGCCAACACUGACCGUGACCGGAUUGUUCAUCACCUCCCACGUUGUACAGGGAAGGUACUCCAUAGCCUCUAAAGAAGGUACUCCCGGUUUGACGUGCAGUGUGCGGGCUGUCAUAGGGUAAGAACUAUUAUCAGUAGCGUCACACCGACCGCGAUGGCUAGUAUUUUGAAUGUCUUGCUGGAAGUUUUGAAGUAUUGAUCGGCAAAAUGCAAUGGAUAAAAACCAUGGCGUGUCAAAAAUGGGCACUCCUGAUUUCGCUGCAGGAGGAAAAAAGCUGCGGAUGACGCUUGAAGGUGCCGAGGAAGAGGAAGAACUGCAACACCUGUGAAUGUUGCCAAAAUUUCCCCUUGUAAUUGAUUGAAGCUGUUACUAUAAUUUCAGAUUAUGUAUCAGGCAUUGUAAAUUCCCUUCUAAUCCAGUGGGUUUAAGUCA